GGAUUCCUGGCCCUUACUGGAAAUAUCAUUAGGGCCACAAAACUCUUAAACAGAACGUUAGUCCAGAAAAGAAGUGUUGGGACUCGAACUGAAAAUGAGGAAGCUAUUGAAUGCUUACAAUCUUCCAGGUGACAUCAGGGGAUCAAAAAUAAUUACUCAGACACUCUAUUCCUGUCCAGAUAGAGUUAAGUUUGGAGGGAGCAAAGGUUGCAAAGCCUAGGAACUGAGCUAAAAUUUCACUUUCCAGCUUAAUUCAGCCAAUUUGCCCUAAUACCAAGUCUGAAGGAGUUUGCAAUCUAGUAGGAAACAAUUUAUCUUGCCAGUUAAAAACAUGGUGCUAACCAAAUCACCAGUGGAAACAAAUCAUACUGCAUGCCAGCUGUGGCUUGGACAGACUAUUUAUUGGAUCUCUCUUUGCCUCAUUUCCUCACCUACACAAUGGCAGUAAUAAUAACAGCAGUAAUAAUAAUAAUUGUCACUUGUGUAUUACUCACUGGAUAUGCCAGGUACAAGCAUGUACCAAGGACAACAAAUAGUCUGCCCCAGUCUAGUAUUCAUAGUUACAAACACUCAUAUUUAAUAGGAAAGUAAUAAUCAUGUCUUACCAAGUGAAG
rnacentral:lncRNA from 1 species